GAUGAACGCUAGCGACAGGCCUAACACAUGCAAGUCGAGCGGGGACAUGCGACGGAUGAGUAAGUUUUCGGAUGGAUCUGAAGAUGUAUGUUCUAGCGGCGGACGGGUGAGUAACGCGUGAGCAACCUGUCCUUCACGAGGGGGAUAACACAGCGAAAGUUGUACUAAUACCGCAUAAGACCACAACGGGACAUCCCGAAGGGGUCAAAGGAGCAAUCCGGUGAAGGGUGGGCUCGCGUCCGAUUAGAUAGUUGGUGAGGUAACGGCCCACCAAGUCGACGAUCGGUAGCCGACCUGAGAGGGUGAUCGGCCACAUUGGGACUGAGACACGGCCCAAACUCC
rnacentral:rRNA from 1 species